rnacentral:rRNA from 1 species
UACGUAGGGGGCAAGCGUUGUCCGGAAUUAUUGGGCGUAAAGCGCGUGUAGGCGGCCCGGUAAGUCGGCUGUGAAAGUCCAGGGCUCAACCCUGGAAUGCCGGUGGAUACUGUCGGGCUCGAGUCCGGAAGAGGCGAGUGGAAUUCCUGGUGUAGCGGUGAAAUGCGCAGAUAUCAGGAGGAACACCAAUGGCGAAGGCAGCCUCCUGGGCCGAUACUGACACUCAUGAGCGAAAGCGUGGGGAGCAAACAGG